rnacentral:lncRNA from 1 species
GAACGGUGUGGCCACGAGAGUCUAGAGGAAACCAACCCGCAACUCACUGGAGCUGAAGGGCUGGUAGUCAGGCCGAAUCUCGCGAGAAUUGGAACUAUUUCAGAGCCAGAGGAGGAUAGUGGCGGCGGCGAACUUUGCCCGGUAGAUUUUACUGACUGGGGUGCUGGCGCGCGCCUUUUUCUCGGCCAGAAUCCAGUUAUUGGGAUAGUCUUGACUUCUACCUCAGCCCAACUUCUGUGGUCGUAAUAUUAGUUUAGCUUGGGUUUGCCGUGAAGUAAGAAGACUGACUUCCGCAAAGGUACUGAACGACUGGGUGUAGGUGCCAGGGCAUGGACGUGAAGCUGGAACCGCGAAAUGAGUUAGUUGUGGGCCGCUGGCCUCAAGGAGCGAACGUCAGCGCGAAGAGGAGAAGCUUGUGCAUACGCUCUGAUAAGGGUUUUAAUAGAGAGAUGGAAUCUCGCUGUGUCACCCAGGCUGGAAUGCAGUGACUCGAUCAUAACUCACUAUGACCUCGAACUCCCAGGCUAAAGCAGUCCUCAAGCAAUCCUUCCACCUCAGCCUUCUGAGUAGCUGGGAGUAGCUGAUUAACUAAUGCGUGUCACCACGCCCAGCUAAUUUGUGUAUGUGUGUGCACAGGUGUAGAGCUAGGGGUCUUGCUAUGUUGCUCAGGCUAGUCUUGAACUCCUGGCCUCAAGCAGUCUUGUCUUGACCUCUCAAACCAGUGGGACUGUAGGUGUGAGCCAUUGCUCCUGGCUGAGCACUGUUUUUUUUAGGACAGACUGUAUUCAUUGUUGCAAUCUUCAGCUUUUGGAACAUCGUCUAGGACAGAGAAGCUGCACAAUAUGUAUUUAUCGAAUGAGUGAAUGAUACUUUUGGGAGAGAAGACAGUGGGUUGGAGAAAUAUCUUGGAAGAAUUGGAAAUUUUAGGUGGACCUUGAAGAAAGGGUAAAAUUCAAUUAGGACACAAGCAGUGAUCAAAAGCAUUGAGUUGGGAACAAAGUGGUAGGAUGUGGGAGUUAGUAUAUAGUAAAAACAACUAAAAUAUAGAAAGAGAUUAUGUGUUUAAUAGAAAUAGGAUUGACUAAAGUGAAUCCACGUUGUAUCUGUAAGAGGUCCAUCGUUGAACUUUAUUUUUUUUUGUUUUGUUUUUGAGACAGGGUCUCACUCUGUUAUCUAGGCUGGAGUGCGGUGGCACAAUCUCAGCUCACUGCAGCCUCAGCCUCCCAGGUUCAAGUGAUUCUCCUGCUUCAGCCUCCCAUAUAGGGAUUACAGGCCUGCACCACCACACCUGGCUAAUUUUUGUAUUUUUAGUACAGACGGGAUUUCACCAUGUUGGCCAGGCUGGUCUCGAACUCCUGACUUCAAGUGAUCCACCCGCCUCGGCCUUCCAGAGUGCUGGGAUUACAGGGUUGAGCCACCACACCCAGCCUCAUGGUUGAAUUUUAGGAGAGCCGUACAUCUCCUCCUGAUAAUACAUGCAAAACUUCAUGUGUCCAUUUUUUUCUGAGUUGAAGUUUCAUAGUUUUCAUCCAAUUCUCAAAGGUGUUUAUAAACCAAUAAAGGUUAAGAAUCAUGUUGUGCAUUUGAAAGACUAAUAGAAAGGCUUAAGCUUAAUGCUGUAGCAAAUUAGUCUUCAAAAGUUUUCUACCAUAGCAUUCAUUAGGAACAGAAGAGGGGGAAUGAGACCCUAAGAUUUAGAGAUGAAGUCUGAAACUUAGGACUUUAUAUUUAUCUGAACAUCAUAUGUAAAUUUUACUAUUAUGGGACUGGUAUUAAUGCUUCCUUAUAAAAAUAUAUUUAGCCUCAUCAGUGAUCAGGGAACCAUAUUUGGGACCAGUCUGUUCAGUUGGCAAAAAUUAAAAAGGCCAUCAUAUCAGAAAGGAGAAGGUAAAAUGAUUUGUUCACAGACAGCAUGAUCUUUUAUGUACAAAACCCUAAAGAUUCCACCCAAAAAACCCUGUUAGAACUAAAAAACAAAGUUGCAGGAUGCAAAACCACACAAAAUUUAGUUGCAUUUCGAUGUAAAAUUUAAAAAGGAAAUCUUAAAAAUUCCAUUUGCAACAGCAUCAGAACUAAAAUACUUGUGAAUAAAUUUAACCAAAGAGGCAAGACUUGUACACUGACAACUACAAACAUUGCUGAAGCAAA